rnacentral:rRNA from 1 species
GACGAACGCUGGCGGCGUGCUUAACACAUGCAAGUCGAGCGGUAAGGCCCUUUCGGGGGUACACGAGCGGCGAACGGGUGAGUAACACGUGGGUGACCUGCCCUUAGCUCUGGGAUAAGCCUGGGAAACUGGGUCUAAUACCGGAUAUGACUCCAUGAUGCAUGUUGUGGGGUGGAAAGCCUUGUGCGGCUAGGGAUGGGCCCGCGGCCUAUCAGCUUGUUGGUGGGGUGAUGGCCUACCAAGGCGACGACGGGUAGCCGGCCUGAGAGGGCGACCGGCCACACUGGGACUGAGACACGGCCCAGACUCCUACGGGAGGCAGCAGUGGGGAAGUCUUGCGCAAUGGGCGAAAGCCUGACGCAGCGACGCCGCGUGAAGGAUGACGGCCU